GAUGAACGCUGGCGGCGUGCCUAAUACAUGCAAGUCGAGCGAACAGACGAGGAGCUUGCUCCUCUGACGUUAGCGGCGGACGGGUGAGUAACACGUGGAUAACCUACCUAUAAGACUGGGAUAACUUCGGGAAACCGGAGCUAAUACCGGAUAAUAUAUUGAACCGCAUGGUUCAAUAGUGAAAGACGGUUUUGCUGUCACUUAUAGAUGGAUCCGCGCCGCAUUAGCUAGUUGGUAAGGUAACGGCUUACCAAGGCAACGAUGCGUAGCCGACCUGAGAGGAUGAUCGGCCACACUGGAACUGAGACACGGUCCAGACUCCUACGGGAGGCAGCAGUAGGGAAUCUUCCGCAAUGGGCGAAAGCCUGACGGAGCAACGCCGCGUGAGUGAUGAAGGUCUUCGGAUCGUAAAGCUCUGUUGUUAGGGAAGAACAAAUGUGUAAGUAAAUAUGCACGUCUUGACGGUACCUAAUCAGAAAGCCACGGCUAACUACGUG
rnacentral:rRNA from 1 species